GUAAUUCCCCUUCUUAACAAUUUUUCCUUAGGUGAACCUGCGGAAGGAUCAUUAAUGAGUUGUCAUGGGGUUCGAUGCUGGCAGCCAGUUUUUGGAUGCAUGUGCUUGCCCUAACAAUCAUCUUCUUCCAAACACCUGUGCACAUUUUUGAGGGAGUCUUGAGUUGGUUGCCGCUCUUGGGUGAUUUUCUCACAUUCCCUUAAAUCAUUAUACGCUAUUAACAAUGUUGAACGUGCUCUGUGCCGCAAGGCCAUUAAUAUAAUACAACUUUUAACAACGGAUCUCUUGGCUCUC
rnacentral:misc_RNA from 1 species